rnacentral:rRNA from 1 species
GACGAACGCUGGCGGCGUGCUUAACACAUGCAAGUCGAGUGGAAAGGCCCCUUUGGGGGUACUCGAGCGGCGAACGGGUGAGUAACACGUGAGUAAUCUGCCCUUCACUUUGGGAUAACCCCCGGAAACGGGAGCUAAUACCGGAUCUGACUGGCGACCGCACGGUUGUUGGUGGAAACUUUUUUGGGUGGGGGAUGUGCUCGCUGCCUAUCAGCUUGUUGGUGGGGUAAUGGCCUACCAAGGCUUUGACGGGUAGCCGGCCUGAGAGGGUGCCCGGCCACACUGGGACUGAGACACGGCCCAGACUCCUACGGGAGGCAGCAGUGGGGAAUAUUGGACAAUGGGCGGAAGCCUGAUCCAGCAACGCCGCGUGAGGGAUGACGGCCUUCGGGUUGUAAACCUCUUUCAGCACCGACGAAGCGCAAGUGACGGUAGGUGCAGAAGAAGGACCGGCCAACUACGUGCCAGCCGCCGCCUGACAC